rnacentral:rRNA from 1 species
GGCUCACACCGGUUUAAACUCAGAUCAUGUAAAAUUUUAAAGGUCGAACAGACCUAAAUAUACUAGCUUCUUCACCAAUAUUUAAUUUUAAUCCAACAUCGAGGUCGCAAUCUUUUUUUUCGAUAAGAACUCUUAAAAAAAUUACGCUGUUAUCCCUAAGGUAAUUUAUUCUCUUAAUCUAAAUUUUAGGAUCAAAAAUAUACAAAUCAAUAUAACAAAAAAAAGAAAAGUUGCUCCAAUUUUCUCAUCACCCCAACAAAAUAAAUAAAAAUCAUGCACAAUAAUAUUUAACCUAUUCUCACUACAAACUUUUACAAAUAAAACUCUAUAGGGUCUUCUCGUCUUCUAUAAAAAUUUAAGCUUUUUUACUUAAAAAUAAAAUUCUAGUAAAUUUUCUCAGAGACAGUCACUUUCUCAUUAAACCCUUCAUACAAGCUCCCAAUUAAAAAACUAUUGAUUAUGCUACCUUUGCACGGUCAAUAUACCGCGGCCAUUCAAUCAAUCAGCGGGCAGGUCARACCUGAAAUAAUAAUC